UGCAGUAAGGUAAGAGCCGUUUUUGUGUAUGUGUGUGUGUGUGUGUGUGUGUAUAUAUAUAUACACACACACACAUACACAAAAACGGCUCUUACCUU